rnacentral:rRNA from 1 species
UGGGGGAUAUUGCACAAUGGGCGAAAGCCUGAUGCAGCGACGCCGCGUGGGGGAUGAAGGCCUUCGGGUUGUAAACUUCUUUUGCUCUGAACAAGGCAUGCCAAUGGGUGUGUUGAGUGUAGGGGUUGAUUAGCGCCGGCUAACUACGUGCCAGCAGCCGCGGUAAUACGUAGGGCGCAAGCGUUAUCCGGAAUUAUUGGGCGUAAAGAGCUUGUAGGCGGUUCGUCGCGUCUGGUGUGAAAGCCCAUCGCUUAACGGUGGGUUUGCGCCGGGUACGGGCGGGCUAGAGUGCAGUAGGGGAGACUGGAAUUCUCGGUGUAACGGUGGAAUGUGUAGAUAUCGGGAAGAACACCAAUGGCGAAGGCAGGUCUCUGGGCUGUUACUGACGCUGAGAAGCGAAAGCGUGGGGAGCGAACAGG